UAUAGGUGUUAUUUCUAAGGUGCUGAUUCAUAGAAUGAAGUUUAGAAUAGAGAUAGGUUUGUUACUGGGAGAAGGAAAAAACACUAAUGAUCCUUGGUAAUGAGUUUUUGCAGCUAUCUGUCUUAAACGCAUGGUGAACAGAAAGAAGGUUUGGAAUGAUGCUAGAGGUAAAUUUCCUGUCAUUUGCUGUGGUUCCCCCAUGAUUCAUGACUUAGUCAUGAUGAGAAUUUCCAUAAGAUGAGUAAUACAGUGAGUGGUUAGUAUAAAGAGUUCCAUGGCAAUGAAACAUAAAAAAAAAAAAAUGUCUACCAAACUUAUCUGAAGAGUUCAGACCCUGGAAGAGCAGUCCCUCCAGAUGGACCUGUGAUCUUGCCUGUGUCAUUGCUGACGAAAUGUGCAUGGCCCAGCAACUCCUCCCAAGCUUCAUAAUCAGAGACCUCACUGCUGUAUGACCAUGCUUAGUUACCUGCUGUGAGUGGUAGGCAGCCUCACUGCUUCCAGAUUCCUUUGAGCAUUCCUUUCCCUCAAGUAAGCUUAAAUGCAAGAAGAAAACUCUCUCUCUCUCUGUCUCUCUCUCUCCCCUCUCUCUCUCCCCCCACUGUGUGUGUAUGUGUGUGUGUCUGUGUGCAUGUGUGUAUGUGUGUGUGUGUGUGUGUGUGUGUGUGUAUGAUAGAGAGGUAUGUAUAUAUCAUUUACUUCCCUCUUAAAUUGAUUCUUGAGAUUUAUUUUUUAUUUAUUAAUCUUUC